CUUGAACGCUGGCGGCAUGCCUUACACAUGCAAGUCGAACGGUAACGCGGGGCAACCUGGCGACGAGUGGCGAACGGGUGAGUAAUGCAUCGGAACGUGCCCAGUAGUGGGGGAUAGCCCGGCGAAAGCCGGAUUAAUACCGCAUACGACCUACGGGUGAAAGCGGGGGACCGUAAGGCCUCGCGCUAUUGGAGCGGCCGAUGUCAGAUUAGGUUGUUGGUGGGGUAAAAGCCUACCAAGCCGACGAUCUGUAGCUGGUCUGAGAGGACGACCAGCCACACUGGGACUGAGACACGGCCCAGACUCCUACGGGAGGCAGCAGUGGGGAAUUUUGGACAAUGGGGGCAACCCUGAUCCAGCCAUGCCGCGUGCGGGAAGAAGGCCUUCGGGUUGUAAACCGCUUUUGUCAGGGAAGAAACGCCCUGGGCUAAUACCCCGGGGUAAUGACGGUACCUGAAGAAUAAGCACCGGCUAACUACGUGCCAGCCGCCGCCGUAACAC
rnacentral:rRNA from 1 species